rnacentral:rRNA from 1 species
GAGUUUGAUCCUGGCUCAGGAUGAACGCUGGCGGCGUGCUUAACACAUGCAAGUCGAACGAAGCGGUUAAAUGGAUUUCUUCGGAAUGAAGCUUGGCUGACUUAGUGGCGGACGGGUGACUAACGCGUGGGUAACCUGCCUCAUACAGGGGGAUAACAGUUAGAAAUGGCUGCUAAUACCGCAUAUGCGCACAGUACCGCAUGGUACAGGGCGGAAAGAUUUAUCGGUAUGAAAUGGACCCGCGUGGGAUUAGCCGGUCGGCAGGGUAACGGCCUACCAAGGCGACGAUCCAUACCCGGCCUGAGAGGGUGAACGGCCACAUUGGGACUGACACACGGCCCAAACUCCUACGGGAGGCAGCAGUGGGGAAUAUUGCACAAUGGGGGAAACCCUGAUGCAGCGACGCCGCGUGAAGGAAGAAGUAUCUCGGUAUGUAAACUUCUAUCAUCAGGGAAGAAAAUGACGGUACCUGACUAAAAAGCCCCGGCUAUCUACGUGCCACCAGCCGCGGUAAUACGUAGGGGGCAAGCGUUAUCCGGAUAUACUGGGUGUAAAGGGAGCGUAUACGGCGUCUCAAGUCUGAUGUGAAAGGCAGGGGCUCAACCCCUGGACUGCAUUGGAAACUGGUAUGCUCGAGUGCCGGAGAGGUAAACGGAAUUCCUAGUGUAGCGGUGCGAUGCGUUAGAUAUUAGGAGGCACACCAGGGCCGUAGGCGGCUCAGUGACCGGUAACUGACUUUGAGGCUCGGAAGCGUGGGGAGCAUACAGGAUUAGAUACCAUGCUAGUCCACGCCGUACACGAUGACUACUAGGUGUCGGGGUACACAGUGGUUCGGUGCCGCAGCCAACGCAAUAAGUAGUCCACCUGGGGAGUACGUUCGCAAGAAUGAAACUCAAAGGGAUUGACGGGGACCCGCACAAGCGGUGGAGCAUGUGGUUUAAUUCGAAGCAACGCGAAGAACCCUACCAGAUCUUGACAUCCCGAUGCCCGCUCCGUAAUGGGAGCUUUUUUUCGGAACAUCGGUGACAGGUGGUGCAUGGUUGUCGUCAGCUCGUGUCGUGAGAUGCUGGGUUAAGUCCCGCAACGAGCGCAACCCUUAUCCUCAGUAGCCAGCAUUUCGGAUGGGCACUCUGUGGAGACUGCCAGGGAUAACCUGGAGGAAGGUGGGGAUGACGUCAAAUCAUCAUGCCCCUUAUGAUCUGGGCUACACACGUGCUACAAUGGCGUAAACAAAGGGAAGCGAUCACGUGAGUGUGAGCAAAUCUCAAAAAUAACGUUUCAGUUCGGAUUGUAGUCUGCAACUCGACUACAUGAGGCUGGAAUCGUUGGUAAUCGAGAAUCAGCAUGUCGCGGUGAAUACGUUCCCGGUCCUUGUACACAC